CGGGAUGACGUCAGUGGAUCCAGCGGCGAACGGGUGAGUAACACGUGGGCAACCUGCCCCUCAGACUGGGAUAACAUCGAGAAAUCGGUGCUAAUACCGGAUAAUUUUCGGGAUCGCAUGAUCCCGUCAUAAAAGAUGGCUUCGGCUAUCACUGGGGGAUGGGCCCGCGGCGCAUUAGCUAGUUGGUGAGGUAGAGGCUCACCAAGGCGACGAUGCGUAGCCGACCUGAGAGGGUGAUCGGCCACACUGGGACUG
rnacentral:rRNA from 1 species